rnacentral:lncRNA from 1 species
CAUGCCACCAACCAGGUGAUGAAAUGUACAACCCGUACUCUAAUAUCAUUUGGUAACUUACCAUUCAUGCUACUAACCAGGUGAAGAAGGAACUCAUCUUCGUGCCACCAACUAGGUGAUGAAAUGUGAUGAAAGGUGGCGAAGGAACUCACCUUCGUACCACCAACCAAGUGAUGAAAGUAACUCACCAUUCAUUCCACCUACCAGAAGACGAGUGGUACAACUUGUACAUGUGAACUCCUAGCAUUCACAAAUAAUAAAAAACCCUCAAGCUUGACAACUUAACUAGGGGAGCACUUAUGCCUAACAAGAGUUAUAGUCACAAACAAAGUCUUGUUGCAAGCCAACAACAACUUCAGUGCAUGGCAUACGAAGAUCAAGCUAUUCAGCCCUCUUACAUCUGCUUCAGACAUUUCUCCUAUGUAACAAUGCAAACACUAUAACUCGUAGAUAGCUUCACACACUCUUGAUCAAGACAGUGUGAAGCAAAACCAAUUUAUGGUGCCAACAAGAGCCUCAUCAAAGGAGUUCAACCACAACUCGUACAAAAGCUUCACACUCUUGAACAAGACAGUGUGAAGCAAAACCAAUUUAUGGUGCCAACAAGAGUUUCAUUAAUUGAGGGCAACCACAAUUCUUAAAAGCUUCACACACUCUUGAUCAAGACAGUGUGAAGCAAAACCAAUUUAUGGUGCCAACAAGACUUUCAUCCAAGGAGUUCAACCACAAGUCUCAAAAGCUUCACACACUCUUGAUCAAGACAGUGUGAAGCAAAACCAAUUUAUGGUGCCAACAAGAGUUUCAUCAAAGAAGUUCAACCACAAGUCUCAAAAGCUUCACACACUCUUGAUCAAGACAGUGUGAAGCAAAACCAAUUUAUGGUACCAACAAGAGCUUCAUCAAAGGAGUUCAACUAUAAUUCUCAAAACUUUCACACACUCUUGAUCAAGACAGUGUGAAGCAAAACCAAUUUAUGGUGCCAACAAGAGCUUCAUCAAUGGAGGGCAACCACAAUUCUCAAAAACUUCACACACUUUUGAUCAAGACAGUGUGAAGUAAAACCAAUUUAUGGUGCCAACAAGAGCUUCGUCAAAGGAGUUCAAACAUAAUUCUCAAAAGCUUUAAACACCCUUAAUCAAGACAGUGUGAAGCAAAACCAAUUUAUGAUGCCAACAAGAGCUUUAUCAAUAGAGGACAAUCAUAAUUCUCAAAAGCUUGACACACUCUUAAUCAAGACAAUGUGAACCAAAACCAAUUUAGGGUGCCAACAAGAGCUUCAUCAAAGGAGUUCAACCACAAUUCUCAAAAGUUUCACACACUCUUGAUCAAGAUAGUGUGAAUCAAAACCAAUUUAGGGUGCCAACAAGAGCUUCAUCAAUGGAGGGCAACCACAAUUCUCAAAAGCUUCACACACUCUUGAUCAAGACAGUGUGAAACACAACUAAUUUAUGGUGCUAACAAAAACUUUAUCAAUGAAGGGUAACUACAACUCAUAGAAAGCUUCACACACUCUUGAUCAAGACUGUUCGAAGCAAAUUCAAUUUAUAUGGUUCAUCCAAACCUUCAACUACUACAAAGUAUAGCUUGCAUCACAAUCUCUUGCUCAACAGUGUGGGAGCAAAAUUUGCAUAU